CUACGGGAGGCUCCAGUGGGGAAUAUUGUACAAUGGAGGAAACUCUGAUACAGCAACGCCGCGUGGAGGAUGACACUUUUCGGAGCGUAAACUCCUUUUAUAUAGGAAGAAGAUGACGGUACUAUAUGAAUAAGCGCCGGCUAACUCCGUGCCAGCAGCCGCGGUAAUACGGAGGGCGCAAGCGUUACUCGGAAUCACUGGGCGUAAAGAGCGUGUAGGCGGAUUAAAAAGUCAGAAGUGAAAUCCUAUAGCUUAACUAUAGAACUGCUUCUGAAACUCUUAAUCUAGAAUAUGGGAGAGGUAGAUGGAAUUUCUGGUGUAGGGGUAAAAUCCGUAGAGAUCAGAAGGAAUACCGAUUGCGAAGGCGAUCUACUAGAACAUUAUUGACGCUGAGACGCGAAAGCGUGGGGAGCAAACAGGAUUAGAUACCCGAGUAGUC
rnacentral:rRNA from 1 species